rnacentral:rRNA from 1 species
AUGUUUGAUCCUGGCUCAGAACGAACGCUGGCGGCAGGCCUCAAACAUGCAAGUCUAGGGGGCGUAGCAAUACGUCACCGGCGGACGGGUGCGUAACACGUGGGAAUGUACCUAUUGGUUCGGAACAACUCAGGGAAACUUGAGCUAAUACCGAAUGUGCCCUUACGGGGAAAGAUUUAUCGCCAAUAGAUCAGCCCGCGUCCGAUUAGCUAGUUGGUGAGGUAAAGGCUCACCAAGGCGACGAUCGGUAGCUGUUCUGAGAGGAAGAUCAGCCACACUGGGACUGAGACACGGCCCAGACUCCUACGGGAGGCAGCAGUUGGGAAUCUUGGACAAUGGGGGAAACCCUGAUCCAGCCAUGCCGCGUGAGUGAUGAAGGCCUUAGGGUUGUAAAACUCUUUCGGCGGGGACGAUAAUGACGGUACCCGCAGAAGAAGCUCCGGCUAACUUCGUGCCAGCAGCCGCGGUAAUA